CCUCUGGACGACGAAGAUCUCGUGUCAUAUGUGCUGGCAGGACUGGAUUUUGACUACAAUCCGGUCGUGUCAUCUGUGGCUGGGCGAUCAGAACCCAUUACACCAAGUGAGCUUUAUGCUCUUCUGGUAGGGUUCGAAA
rfam:Oryza brachyantha chromosome 2, whole genome shotgun sequence.